rnacentral:sRNA from 1 species
UUGUGUGUGUGAGUGUGUGAGUGUGUUUUUGAGUUAUUAUUCAUCAUUAGGAAAACUUGCAUCUUAAGAUACAUGUCACCAUUCCAGAUCACCGAAACAAGGUUGAUUAAAUGACUAAAUUACUGAAUCUCGGCUGUCUAAACUAAACGUUGACCAAACGACUGAAUGUUUGAUUGUCUAGAUCACUGAGUCAAAAUUUGAGUUUUUGUGUCAAUGUUGAUUGUAGUUUCAUGUCUUGAUGACCCGGCAUAGUUCACCUACUUCUUCACCUUUUUCUGGUGUUAUCAAACAAUAAACAUUCACGGUGUAACUCAUUCCUAUUUAUACUAUAAUAUUUCAUCCGACGUAACCAGCUACUUUAUAGGGAUUUAAAAAAAUAGUGUAUUUUAAUAAAGGUACUCAACAUACCGUAAAAAAACAAAACCAAAAUGAAGUUUGAGUUGAUCUACAUUUUUGUUGCCAUGGCAAAGUUAACAUCGGGGGUCCCUAUGGGCUUCGACGUCGAGUUUUGCAACAGAAAUAUGGGAAUCGUCACUAACAACGGAACGUAUGAGAAACAGCCUGUGUUUAUCGAUAACUUCCAUAUUGUGGUUGAACAGAAA